AUGUCAUCUCCAUCAGCACCUAUUCGUGUGGCAGUUCCACCACCCUAUGUAACAUCGCAUGGAGCUAAAAUUGCAAGGCUACAUAUGUAUGACUGGAUUGUGCUGGUUAUUCUAGUUGUGGUGGAUGGAGUACUAAAUAAAAUAGAACCAUUCCAUCGAUUUGUUGGAUCGGACAUGCUCACGGAUCUCCGAUAUCCCAUGAAAGACAACACGGUGCCAUUUUGGACGGUGCCGAUAUAUGGAAUCAUUGGACCUAUGAUUAUCAUGACCAGUAUAUACAUCAAGAGGAGGAAUGUCUAUGAUUUGCAUCAUGCCAUACUAGGUCUCCUCUUUUCAGUGGCUAUAACUGCAGUUUUAACUGAUGCGAUUAAGGAUGGUGUUGGUCGGCCACGUCCAGAUUUCUUUUGGCGCUGUUUUCCUGACGGAGUACCUGCCUAUGACAAUUUUACUACGGGCGUCCUGUGUCAUGGUAAAGCGAGUGAUAUCAAAGAAGGUCACAAGAGUUUCCCAAGUGGUCAUACUUCUUUGUCUUUUGCUGGCCUCGGGUUCCUGUCAUGGUAUCUAGCUGGUAAAAUCAAAGUUUUUGAUCGACGAGGCCAUGUUGCAAAACUCUGCAUUAUUUUUCUCCCUCUGCUUGGUGCAGCCUUAGUGGCUGUUUCUCGAGUAGACGACUACCGGCAUCAUUGGCAAGAUGUGUGCACUGGUGGAGUUCUGGGACUGGUGGUUGCUUCUUUGUGCUACCUGCAAUUUUUUCCACUGCCGUCUGAUGAAAAUGGUCUAUGGCCUCACGCGUACAUCCGGCACAUUGAUAACCCGGAAGGGGGACACACAAGUGCAACCCACAGUGAUGGGUCGCCAAAACUCGGUGCGGAACGGUUCGUUUGA
rnacentral:rRNA from 1 species